AUUGAACGCUGGCGGCAGGCUUAACACAUGCAAGUCGAGCGAGAGGCGUACGUGUGAGUAAUGUCUGGGCAACUGCCUGAUGGCGAGGUAUAACUACUGUAAACGGUAGCUAAUACCGCCUCCCCUCCGAUGUUCCCAGAUGGGAUUAGCUAGGAGGUGGGUUAACGGCUCACAUAGGCGGCGAUGCCUCGCUGGUCUGAGAGGAUGACCAGCCAAACUGGAAAUGAGACAAGGUCCAGACUCCUACGGGAGGCAGCAGUGGGGAAUAUUGCACAAUGGGCGCAAGCCUGAUGCAGCCAUGCCGCGUGUGUGAAGAAGGCCUUCGGGUUGUAAAGCACUUUCAGCGAGGAGGCGGUAAUCGAAGAAGAAGCACCGGCUAACUACGUGCCAGCCGCCGCGGUAAUAC
rnacentral:rRNA from 1 species